CCUUCUUUUACCUUUCCACCAUUUUUCCCUCACUUUACUGAUUAUCAAAACUGUACAUGGAGGAAUUUUAGUUUCAAAACAUAUCAACUCACUGGAUUUAAUUACAUACUGUGAAUGACUUAAGUUGUGAAUGGUACAUUUAAUCGUUUGCGCAAGAUAGAAAGCAAGACGACUCUACUUUAGAAAUGUCAGGCCCACUGGGCCCCCUACUUACGAGUGGCAACCCGGAAGAUCGUUUGCUGUAAUGGUGGCUGGUAUCCAGAACUACCCUGACAUCGGCGCUGGCCAAAAGAAUAGUAGAGUAAUCUGAUUUGAUUUACAUCUCUUUAUCUUGUUGUGAAUUUUAAUUGCGUAAGGCUUUUCAUCUGGUAUUAUUUUAGCUGCUGCUCUUGUCCAUUCAUUUAUGUGUUACACAAGAAUUUACAUUUUUCGCCGUUAUAACUCCUACUGGGCGUUCGCUCACCCGUUUUGUUUUGUUUUCACCCCCACAGAUUUUGAAGAGAGGUUAAUGCAGUAAGCUUAGGAAUAGCUUACAUCUAGGAGCUUAAGCGAAAGUUGGUAAUUUUGCUUGUCGAAUGUGUAUAUCACGGAGUCAUCUGGGGUAGUUUGGUUCCCAUACAUCCAUGUCUAUUUUCUGUUGGUCGAUUCUCCCAUGUUUUUGGCUGUCUUAUAUUUCCGCUGUCAAAAUAAUUCUCUUGCCACUUUGAAUUUAAAAUUGACAAGCCAAGCCUUAUUUAUGCUUUUGCGAACUUAUACAUGUACAUCUACUGUAUGCAUUAUCAUAUCAUACUAAUGUUUGAGCUGAAUUUAAACCGUAUCCUAUAUACAAACUAUCUUGUGUUGCACUUUGGAACUUGCUUAAAUCUAAGUUUGAAUAUUCGUAGUGAACCUUUAUUGUAUUAAUAACUAUGUGUACUCACCUUCAUUCAUUUUACUGAUAUUUUCUUUUAAAAAAACAAACAACGUCUUUAUGUACCAUUUUACAUUUUUGAGUGACAGGUCGGGGAUUUAUCCUUUCUUAUUGGGUUGAAACCCAGCCCACAAGAAGGGAAAUUUUCUGAUCCGUUACAGUUGGCAUCAGAGCAAAGGUUCCGACUUACCGGGACUGUGUUAGGCUUUCUUACUUGCUGAAAUGGUCGAUUUUUUGAAGUUCAAUUCACUUUCGUACACUUCGGUUGUUUAAAAACCAUAGUAAUAUAUUGACGUGUAGUAUUUGAAUCUGUUUCAGUUUACCAAGGAAAUAUAGCGUAUCGUAUCUUUUUUUGUUAUGCAACUCUGAAAUAAUUGAAGUAUGAUGGUCGUAGCAUUUGCUGGAAAAAAAAUAUUUCUAAGAGUUUGACAGUAUUAUUGUUGAAAUAGUCUCGUCGGUUUUGGGGAUGGGGAAACUAAACUAGGUACCGUGAUAUACACAUCUUUAGGAAUGUUAGUAAUGUACAUUACUAACCAAUUAUGGAUCUCACUCAUGUUCUGUUUUGAAGAUAUCGCCUUGUAGCCUCGACCCCUCCGUCCCUAAGAAAAGGGAUCUCAGCGAUAGAAUGGAACGCUAAGAAAUACUUAAUUAGAACAUCUGGUAGGUUCUGUGUUAACGAUUUCCGACGUCGUUAGAGACUGCAAGCAGCGAGUAUUGAGGUAGACUCGAAGGAAUUCAAAAAGGAUGUGAGAAAUGGCUAAAUGUUUAGUGAUGGACAAAUGAUUCUCUCGAAGCAGAGAAGUGGUUGAUAGGAUUGAGAAGGGGCUUGAUUCUGUGAAAUUACCGGAGAGAAUAAGAUUGGUCUUGCAUUGAGUUACGGAAGGGAUUUUUUUUAAUUUUUUCUUUUUCUGUUUGUACACUUUCUUUGGGACCAUGGUCUUCAGUUGUGCUAAUCAUUCUGGUUAGUAAAUUUUGAUAAAGUUUCUCAUAAGCUGUGAUUCUUACGGAUCAUGAAUGGGGAAUCUCCACUUCAUCAAAUGGAAUUUUUAGUCAAUUCAAA